AAAGUCUUUCACAUAGUCUUUCGUUAUACGAAUAGGCUCCAUGGCAAAGCUAUCUGGGGUAGCACUGUUCACACAGUGAAAGUCCCGAAUGAUAGAUGGGAAUUUUGUAAUUUGUGUAAUUUAGAUAUUGUUCCAAAGAUCAUUGUAACAGUUUUGUCAGUGUUUAGGAAGAGUUUGUUUUUUGUGAUCCACUUUUCUACCUCUGUAAACUGGUCUUAGAGCACAGCCUCAAGCUGCG